UACGAAGGGGGGCUAGCGUUGCUCGGAAUCACUGGGCGUAAAGCGCACGUAGGCGGCUUUUUAAGUCAGGGGUGAAAUCCUGGAGCUCAACUCCAGAACCUCGCCUUUGAUACUGAGAGGCUUGAGUCCGGGAGAGGUGAGUGGAACUGCGAGUGUAGAGGUGAAAUUCGUAGAUAUUCGCAAGAACACCAGUGGCGAAGGCGGCUCACUGGCCCGGUACGUGACGCUGAGGUGCGAAAGCGGUGGGGAGCAAACAGGG
rnacentral:rRNA from 1 species